CAGGAAGAAGCACAAGACUCUCCGGCCGGCUCUCCCGCCUGGGGACGGCUGCAAAGGAAGCACCCAACCGACGGCGAGGCUCCCGCGGAGGAGGCGGAGGAGGCGUGUGCGCCGCAGCCGGAGGUGCAGCCCGAGUGGCGAGGUUCCUUGGCUCUCAAGAGUGCCACCUCCAGCUAACUUUCCUAUUCGGUUCUGGAAGCUCGCUCUACACUGAAGAUGGGUGCAGUUUUCACUGAAGCUGCACCCGUUGCCUGGAUGUGCCACACUGUACCUAGACCCCUAUGUGACUAGGUUCAAGUCCCUGUGCACUUGGGCAGGAAGGCAUUGUACUAGGACAGUGAACACUUGCUGUUCACAAGAUCAGCUCUCCUCCAGCCAGCUGGAAUCCACUUGCUGCACAUCCCAGGACUGAAAAGAUCCCAUUGGAAGAUGCUGGAAAUACCACAGAUAGGACAAAGGUGACAACUCUUCGGCUAAACAGAACGCAAAGAGAUUUUGUUCCUUGACAGCUACCUGCUUGUUUGAUGACAAAAGUGAUAUUCGUGUUCAAUUUUGAACUGUCCUCUCCGAAGUCAGCAUUCCUGUAGCUGUCCCCAGCCCUCAGCCUAUGGCGAUGCAGCCGGAGAUCCUCAACAGAGCAGCCUGCAUCCGGAACUUCCUGGCCUUCAGAACCAUGACUCAACUGCUUUAUGAUUCCAAGCCUUAGAUUUUUUUUUUUUUAAAGACUUUUAUUUACUUAUUUGAGGGGCAGAGUUACAGUCAGGAGAGGGAGAGACAGAGAGAAAGGCUCUCUACCCACUGGUUCACUCCGCAAAUGGCCGCCAUGGCCUGAGCCGGGCUGAGUGGAAGCCGGGAGCCAGGAGCUUCCUCCAGAUCUCUCACAAGGGUGCAGGGGCCCAAGCACAUGGGCCAUCUUUUGCUGGUUUUCCAGGCCGUAGCAGAAAGCUGCACUGGAAGAGGGGCAGCUGAGAUGGGAACUGACGCCCAUAUGGGACGCCAGCACCAACGUAGGCGAGGCAUAGUCCACUGCACCAUAGCGACAGACCCCCCACACUUUCUUUCUUUCUCUCUUUCUCUCUUUCUCUCUUUCUCUCUCUCUCUUUCUCUCUCUCUCUCUUUCUCUUUCUCUCUUUCUCUCUCUCUCUCUCUCUCUCUCUCUCUCUUUCUCGGUCAGCCUUAGAUAUUUUGUUAGAGCACCCGAAAACAGAUUAGGACAAAACCCAAUGGAGACUUUUAGAGUUAGGCUGAAUACUUGGAGUAUAAAAUUUAAAAAUAGGCAAACAUAGUGGCUCAUGUUUCAAAUAGAGACAGUAUAGAGAAAAAAGCAGGAUCUCGGAGACUGUAAGGAAGCGCUAACUGUUCUGAUAUGUAGGGAAUGGAAGUAGGUUUUACCCCUUGUGCUUUCUCAGUGUUUGGUGGUGUGGCUAUGUGGCUCCUGUCCACUGCUGAAAUAUCUGAAAUGUGGGUACAAUGGAAGAAAGCUUGAAAUUGCGGACAAAAUAAAACCCACCUGGGUUCUCUCCCAGGCUUCCCAUGUGAUCCUGGACAAGCAGUUUGGAGUCUCUGAGCUUGAGAUUCUCUAUCCAGCCUGGUGGGGCUCGUCCCAGACCACAGGUGAGAAUCACUCGGGGAGUUCAGAGCAGUCAGCAUCCCACUCUCACCCCAGUGUGGCUGGGGAAGGUUCCCCAGGUGAUUCUGACGAGACGGAGAGGUUGAGACGCUUGAGCCAGCCUGAACUCCACGAGAGUUCGCUCCUGUCUGUCUGAUUUUUUUUAUUCAUAGGGGAAAUCAGGCCCUCCCUCAGCCCAGGCCCCUGAAGCGAGUAGUGAUCAUUUAUAUAAGUACUUAGGAGAAAAAAAAUUUUUAAAUGCACUGGCUGUGUUACCUCUUGUAUUUGAUUUUGGGAGGAGGGGGUGUUUAAGAUUUAUUUAUCUAUCGGCAUGAAAGAGAAGUGUCAGUCUUGGAUCUGCUGGUUUACUAGCCAGAUGGCUACAGUGCCUGGGACUGGGCCAGGCUGGAGUCAAGAGCCAAGAACUCUGUUCAGGUCCCCCAUGUGGAUGGCAGGAACCCAAGUAUUUGGGCCAUCACCUGCUGCCUCCGAGGUGGACUGGCCUGAAAGCAGAGCAGCCGUGACUGGAGCUGGCACUCCCACAUGGGAUGCCGGCAUUGCAAGCAGCGGCUCAACCCACUGUGCCUCCUGGUUGUGAGAGGUGAUUGCUCUUUGGUCCUAAUAACCGCUUCGCGCUGGGAUUUUCUCUCGGCAUUUGGGUGUAAAGAGUAUGCAUUUUUAAAGCUGUCUGAAGGCCUCCUUUAUGCAGCAGACCGUAGCUCCUCUCUGCAUAGACCUCAAUGCUUUAUCAAAUAAAUGAUACACAUUUAAAAAUCUGUCUCAAGGGGCAUUUACCUGAGGGACUGUUAUUGUGUUGGAAUUUUUUCCCAGCCCUUAUGGUUCAUUGGGUAAAUAAUAUCUUUUAACCAAUUUUUAAAUGGACAUGUCUAGCAAGAUGCCAUUUUAUCAAUCUUACACAUUCCUAUACCCUUCAGAGAGGGCUCCUUUAGGUCAUUUUUAUUAUAAAUUCCACAUUAAGAUACUUUACCAGGAAAAGAAAAAAAGAGGAUCAAAUCUUAAAACGGAGUCUGAAGCCCAUCUCUGGCCCAUAACUUUUGGCUAAUCAAAGACUUGGUUAUUUCUUUACUUUUUUUUUCCCCGUGUAAAAAUUCAAGAUACUGUUGUGCCUUUGGGAUGGUAGACCAUAACCGUGUUCUUCCUUGGAGAUUCCUGGUUGGAUUAUCUUAAGAGAAAGUGGGGAUUGGUCAGAUGUGAUUGUGCAGUGGAAGGGCCUCUGCUGGGUCCCCGUGCCCGUCAGCGUCAGUCAUGAGAAUCUACGAGAGACAGCCAGGGACCAGCGGUGGUGGCACAGGGCUCACUGCAGAGAAGAUGAGGAUUCCGUAGAGAAUCGCAGGAGUGCUGAGAGUGUCAGCAGAUGCGACUCAGGGUGUUAGAUGGAUCAAGGGUUGAAGUUGCUGGCAACAGGAUCCUCUCAAGCCAGCUUAAGCAGAGAGGGCUUUGAUUCAUGGAAUUGCCUGGAAGGGCUUGCAGGUUACACAUAGGAACAGUGCAGCGGGAGAAAUAGAUUGUACUUUCAAAGAGUAGUCUGGGCCGGCGCCACGGCUCACUAGGCUAAUCCUCCGCCUUGCGGCGCCGGCACACCGGGUUCUAGUCCCAGUCGGGGCGCCGGAUUCUGUCCCGGUUGCCCCUCUUCCAGGCCAGCUCUCUGCUGUGGCCAGGGAGUGCAGUGGAGGAUGGCCCAAGUGCUUGGGCCCUGCACCCCAUGGGAGACCAGGA